rnacentral:tRNA from 1 species
UCCCAGGUGGCUUAGUGGUAAAGAGUCUGCCUGCAAUGCAGGAGACACGAGAGAUUAGGGUUUGAUUCCUGGGUUGGGAA